UGCAGACAGCCUGCUGAGAGCGAUUUGGUUUUGUCGGGUGUAUCCGACGUAGACGUGAUGCAACAUGCCGCACGUAUACGCAUUCACAAUUCAUUACGAUCACUGAGGUGGUACUAAUGCCCAUUUAAUAGUUCCUCAAUUGGCCAUUAAGCAUCGGUAUAAUAGCUUCAGAAGUGAUGCGCGCAUUCUUAUUUAUUAGAGAGUUAAUUGAUACCGAAUGAAGAUUCAGCAGAUAAAACCGUCUGAUGUGCCACCUCACCUCCAGAAUCAAAAUUUAAUUUCGAAAGUCCCAAUAUAGCUGGAUGAUAUCUCUUGUGUACGUCUAUCAGCUGGUUUCUAAUUAUGAAAGGUAAACGUUUUAUUCAAAGUUAUGAAGCGCUGACAAGAGCACCCCGUUCAUUUAACCUUUGUGUGACGGAGAAAGAAUACAAAAUGUGAUUCUUUUUAGGGUAAGAGAGUAAUUUUAAUUACACCCCUAUAAUAAAAGUUAUUCAUGGGAAUUUCUUAGCGACUAGCUUGGCAGGAAUCAGCCAGUACAAUAAAGACAGGAUUUUAUUAAAAGCACCAAAAAAAUACUGUCCCCUUGGGGGCCAUAUCAUAAAGGUACGUGUCUGUGUCUGGCCUUACGCUGUAGUAAUUGGCUUUACGGUUAUCACAGCUGAUGAAAUAACCGGCUCAUCAUAUUAAUCCACAUAAAAAGCCUUUGGCACUGUUAGAGCCAACCGCACAUCGCUGUAAUUCACAAGCUUUGGCCGUAAGCAUGCCUGGGUAAGACAGAGUCUUUGGUAGCCUUUAAAAGCUGAAGACAUUUUUUUUU